rnacentral:rRNA from 1 species
CUUUAAUGGAGAGUUUGAUCCUGGCUCAGGACGAACGCUGGCGGCAUGCCUAAUACAUGCAAGUCGAGCGGACUUGAUGAAGAAGCUUGCUUCUUCUGAUAGUUAGCGGCGGACGGGUGAGUAACACGUAGGCAACCUGCCUUUCAGACUGGGAUAACUUCCGGAAACGGAUGCUAAUACCGGAUACAUCGUUUCUUCGCAUGAAGAGACGAGGAAAGACGGCGCAA